rnacentral:sRNA from 1 species
GACCUAAGUCCUAGAUUAUCCCAGGAUAUGGUCUAAAAACUCUCCCGAGUAUUGAGCUCCUCGUCAGAGCACUCGGGAGAGUCAUAUCCCGAAAGGGAUAUGGGUGGCGAAAGCCAUC